CGCUGGCGGCGUGCCUAAUACAUGCAAGUCGAGCGCGGGAAGCGGACAAUCACCCUUCGGGUGUGCGUCCGUGGAACGAGCGGCGGAUGGGUGAGUAUCACGUGGGCAACCUGCCUGUAAGAUUGGGAUAACUCGCGGAAACGUGAGCUAAUACCGAAUGAAGUCUUUCACCGCCUGGUGAAAGGAUGAAAGAUGGCUCUUGAGCUAUCACUUACAGAUGGGCCCGCGGCGCAUUAGCUAGUUGGUGGGGUAAAGGCCUACCAAGGCGACGAUGCGUAGCCGACCUGAGAGGGUGAUCGGCCACACUGGGACUGAGACACGGCCCAGACUCCUACGGGAGGCAGCAGUAGGGAAUCUUCCGCAAUGGACGAAAGUCUGACGGAGCAACGCCGCGUGAGUGAAUGAAGGUCUUCGGAUCGUAAAACUCUGUUGUCAGGGAAGGACAAGUUGUGUUCUAACAGGACAUGACCUUGACGGUACCUGACCAGAAAGCCCCGGCUAACUACGUGCCAGCAGCAGC
rnacentral:rRNA from 1 species